rnacentral:rRNA from 1 species
AGUGAACGCUGGCGGUAGGCCUAACACAUGCAAGUCGAACGGCAGCACAGUAAGAGCUUGCUCUUACGGGUGGCGAGUGGCGGACGGGUGAGGAAUACAUCGGAAUCUACUUUUUCGUGGGGGAUAACGUAGGGAAACUUACGCUAAUACCGCAUACGACCUACGGGUGAAAGCAGGGGAUCUUCGGACCUUGCGCGAUUGAAUGAGCCGAUGUCGGAUUAGCUAGUUGGCGGGGUAAAGGCCCACCAAGGCGACGAUCCGUAGCUGGUCUGAGAGGAUGAUCAGCCACACUGGAACUGAGACACGGUCCAGACUCCUACGGGAGGCAGCAGUGGGGAAUAUUGGACAAUGGGCGCAAGCCUGAUCCAGCCAUACCGCGUGGGUGAAGAAGGCCUUCGGGUUGUAAAGCCCUUUUGUUGGGAAAGAAAAGCAGCAGGUUAAAACCCCGCUGUUUUGACGGUACCCAAAGAAUAAGCACCGGCUAACUUCGUG